rnacentral:misc_RNA from 1 species
UCGUAACAAGGUUUCCGUAGGUGAACCUGCGGAAGGAUCAUUACCGAGUGAGGGCCCUCUGGGUCCAACCUCCCACCCGUGUUUAUUUUACCUUGUUGCUUCGGCGGGCCCGCCUUAACUGGCCGCCGGGGGGCUUACGCCCCCGGGCCCGCGCCCGCCGAAGACACCCUCGAACUCUGUCUGAAGAUUGUAGUCUGAGUGAAAAUAUAAAUUAUUUAAAACUUUCAACAACGGAUCUCUUGGUUCCGGCAUCGAUGAAGAACGCAGCGAAAUGCGAUACGUAAUGUGAAUUGCAAAUUCAGUGAAUCAUCGAGUCUUUGAACGCACAUUGCGCCCCCUGGUAUUCCGGGGGGCAUGCCUGUCCGAGCGUCAUUUCUGCCCUCAAGCACGGCUUGUGUGUUGGGCCCCGUCCUCCGAUCCCGGGGGACGGGCCCGAAAGGCAGCGGCGGCACCGCGUCCGGUCCUCGAGCGUAUGGGGCUUUGUCACCCGCUCUGUAGGCCCGGCCGGCGCUUGCCGAUCAACCCAAAUUUUUAUCCAGGUUGACCUCGGAUCAGGUAGGGAUACCCGCUGAACUUAAGCAUAUCAAUAA